GAUGAACGCUAGCGGGAGGCUUAACACAUGCAAGUCGAGGGGCAGCACGAGGUAGCAAUACUUUGGUGGCGACCGGCGCACGGGUGAGUAACGCGUAUGCAACCUACCCUGUACAGGGGGAUAACCCGGAGAAAUUCGGACUAAUACCCCAUAAAGAUAUUUAGAGGCAUCUUUGAAUAUUUAAAGUUCCGGCGGUACGGGAUGGGCAUGCGUAACAUUAGCUAGUUGGUAAGGUAACGGCUUACCAAGGCAACGAUGUUUAGGGGUCCUGGGAGGGUGAUCCCCCACACUGGUACUGAGACACGGACCAGACUCCUACGGGAGGCAGCAGUGAGGAAUAUUGGUCAAUGGGCGCAAGCCUGAACCAACCAUCCCGCGUGAAGGAAGAAUGCGCUAUGCGUUGUAAACUUCUUUUCCAGGGGAAUAAAAUUUUGUACGUGUACGGAAUUGAAGGUACCCUGGGAAUAAGCAUCGGCUAACUCCGUGCCAGCAGCCGCCGUAAGAC
rnacentral:rRNA from 1 species